UCACCCCCUUCUUCUUCUUCUUCUUCUUCUCCCCUUUGAGGGUUUCCUUUUUGGCCGAGGGAGAGAGGGACCAAGCAAGGGAGAGCAACAAAGAGAGGGAAAAGCAAGGGGUUCUGGUUUUUCCGUAGAUUUGGGGCUGAGAGAGAGAUGAGCUCGAGGGAGAGAGAUCGAGAAGGAGAGUUUCGUGCGACUGAGGGAGAGCGGGAGAGGUUCAGCCGUGCAUGGGCUCGGUUAGAGAGUGAGACCAAGGGAGUGAGAAAGAGAGAGAGAGUGAGUAGUCCACUUCAUCUGUGUGAGAAAGAAGUAAGAGACUCGCGUCGCCGGAGGCCAGCCCACCGACCACCGCCCGCCACAGCACCGCGCCAGCCCAGUAUGCCUAUAAAGAGUCUUCAUUCGGGCUUAAGCAGGGGUGAGCACCCGGGAACCGGAGAACCGAACCGGACCCUCCCGUUCUCUGCCUCUGCCCGUUGCUAACACUGCUCGCCCUCAACAUCGCCAUCGGAUGCUGCCACCGGACGCCAUUCACCCUCGACGCCACCGCUAGACGCCGGUCACCCCACUCUCAUCUCACCCUUGCCUCUUGCUCCCUCGACGCCGUCACCCCUCGCUUGCCUCGCUGCUCAGCCGCUUGCUGUUGACGCCGCCAGUGGAUGCCGCUCGUCCCCUCGGUGGCACCUUCGUGCACAUAUAACUUAACGCAACAGUAUACACCUUGAUGAAUGAUAGGAAAAUGUAAGGUUAGAUAUCAGUAUCUAACCCACUGCACAUUCUGGAAUUCCCACUAUCAUAUGUCACUCUUGUAGCAUUUCUUCUCUAAUUGGCUUGUUAACAACUUUCCCAUCGAUUGAUGAAUAGGGUGCCCAACUUGCUACUGACGAAGGGAAAAGUGCAACAACUUUAGCGGCUUGCUGAACUUUGGUUGAAGAACUCAUAGAAUCACGAUUUCCAACUCCUAGAAUAUUGGCAUUUAAGGAGGGAAGCUGUACAUAGUGAAUGAGAAGAAUGAUUCUGAAUCAAAGGGUUCAAAGUCUAUAUCCAUAUUGGACGGUCUAAUUGCUGGUAACACAAAGAAAAUUCCUCCAUCACUAGUUAUCAAGCAACUGGCUGUGGCUGUAGAGAAUGGGAAGAAAUUUAGCUCAAUGAAAGAUUUUCUGGCAACAAACAAAGGUUCUUCUCCUAUCAAGGAAAGGGCAGGACUAAGUCUCUUUGCUGUGAGGUCGCUUGUGCUUUGUGAAAAGGAAGAUAACAUAUCCGAGUUUCCAGAUGAAGUGAAGCUCUAUUCUUUGAUUAGUUUGCUGUUUGAUGUAGGUAAAUCAAUAAUCAGAUUAUCAAAUUUACUAGUCCAUGAAAUAAUACUCAUCCAUUAUAAAAAAUUUAUUGGUUCUUUUUUAAAAUUAUCCUAUGAUGAUCUUUCACUUCUAUUGUAAUAUCUCGCAAGAUAUUUGCAGGGGGAAAGUUUCUCAGAAGAAAGAUUAAUUCUGGUUCAGAAACCACUGCUACAACAUUGCCGAGAGAUAUUCAGCUCCACUUGAAAGCUUUGUUACAAAAGUUGCCGAAGUCAUUGGAAGCUGUAAAACAAUGAGGGAUAUGGCUUUAUUUUGGUUCAGGGUUAUUUCUGAGGUAAGGGACUUUGUGAAGUGAACCGCUAGACUUUGCAAAAGAGAAAUAGUUCACAUUUUAGAAUAUUAAACGCUUAUAAGUAUUAUAGAUUGUGUUCGUGUUAUAUUUUCUUUGAUAAAUGACAAGUUUGUUUAUUAUUACUGCA